UACAGAGGUCCCGAGCGUUGUUCGGAUUUAUUGGGCGUAAAGGGUGCGUAGGCGGCGGAGUAAGUUGGGUGUGAAAUCUCGGGGCUUAACUCCGAAACUGCAUUCGAUACUGCCGUGCUUGAGGACUGGAGAGGAAACUGGAAUUUACGGUGUAGCGGUGAAAUGCGUAGAUAUCGUAAGGAAGACCAGUGGCGAAGGCGGGUCUCUGGACAGUUCCUGACGCUGAGGAACGAAGGCCAGGGGAGCAAACGGG
rnacentral:rRNA from 1 species